AGUAUGCCAAGGAUUCUUUUAUUGUAACCAGAGGAGAAUGUGUAUCAGUUUGCUCGCAGUAACCAGAUAUUCUGGCAUAAGUGUCCUGAACCUUGGGGUAACCUCCAAUUCUUAUAUCUCCUUCAAUGAUACCACUAGUUUUACGUCCAGAGAGGACAUCCAAAAGUGUUGUUUUCCCAGCUCCAGUAACACCCACUAUAGCUGUCAAAAUUCCUGGCCUAAAUGAUCCUGUAAUAUCUUGAAGAAGCUGUAACCUUUUCUGUUCAAAACCUUACUCUUUCAUUUUCUGCAUGAUAUAUUGAAGAUUGAUUAGUUAUGAGUACAAGCCAUAUCCAACAGCCUUGGAAUUAAUUGACGACUUAAAAAAUGACUACCUUGGGAGUAUUCACAAAAUAUUGAACAUUCUCGAACGUUAUAAUCAUGGGCUCAAAAGGUAAGACCACCACUGUUGAAUAAUCAAAUCGCUUUUAAUGUUCCAUAAUGUAAGAAAAAUAUGAGCUCAAUAAUGUUACCCACUGCUUGCAUCCUUCAAUUUUAUCAAGCAGUGGAUGAAUUACUUCUCUUUUACCUGUGUAAAAUUAGUUCCUCACCUAUUUGUUUUGCUUCCUCAGGAGCUUUUGGAGAAUCAACAGGAGGCCUUAUGCUUUCAUUAGAUAAUUUUCUCAAACUUCUUUCCACUCUUAGUUUGGAGAGCCUUUCUUGUGAUAUAAUAGUCCGUGAUCUUCCUGGAGCUGUGCAAAUAUAUUUUUCAUCAGAUGCAGGUUAGUACGCAGAAAAUUAAUUACUUUUGUAUCUUUAUAUGUUUCCUUCUCUUAUUAUGCACGUGUGUGAGGAACUUACCCUUUAAACAACUUAAUGCAAAAGUGAAUCCAAUAUUAAGAACUAUCCAAAAUCCUACUAAUGCUCCUAUUGAUACCCAAUAAAAGUUUGCACUAUAAUUUAGUCCGUGGUAUGUUAGUACUUGUUGGCCUAUUGUAGCAUUUGAAGACGAGACCUGUAAAAGAAUGAUAUAUGAGAAUUUACCAAUGUAUCGAAAGCAAGUAGGACGUGCAUAAAUAUAUUAGAGGGUAAAUCGGUUCUGGUACCACCUUUUGCCAUCUUGGAGCAAGGAAUUCGUUUAUUGAAACACUGAUCUCGGCAUAAGUAAUUGGAGAAAGCCAAAAGCCCCAGUACAGCCAAGCAGGCAAAGAGGCUGCGACGAGGAGGGGCUAUUAGUUCUCGGUAAAGAAUUGUUUACUUCUUUUAGUAGAAAAGUCCUAUAAUAAGUUGCCUUACAUCGUGGAAUUAUGAAGCCACCAAAUAAAAACAUUACUAGCAUGGAGAAAAGACUACAAGACACAGCAAAAGAUGGAUUUCGCAACAUGGAUGCCAGGAAACGGAAUGAUGAUAUAGAUACUUGAUGUAAAACGAAAAGGAGGAGUAAUUGGCAAAGAAACCUGUGCAUCCGUGUAUAACAUCAGUACUUGGGAUGGAUCACAACAUUUUUUUUACAAAGAAAAGACGAGUUUUAUGUAUAACACACCUUUCGGGUUCAGGAGUAUAGCCAAUAACAUAAUAUGUAAGGACUGUCCACAGAAAAGCAUCUAGAAAUGAAAAUGGAAUCUUUAGAAUGGCAGCUGGAAUAGUGUAAGUCCAUGCAGGGUAAAAAUAGUAAUCUCUUUGCUUGUAGAAGACCGGAAGCCGAGAAAAAGUCAUGGAUACCUCAGAGAUUCCAUUGGUCACCAGUCUAACAAGGGCAUAAAAUAGAGAUCCCAUGUAAUAAUUUGCAUGGACAUCAUCCAUUUUUGUCCGCGUACGUAAUCAUUGUUAUAAUUGCAGUGACCACAAGCUGCAUAAACAUAACAACCAGGCCAAUGAAAAACACUUUUAAAUUUCCUUGACCAUACUUGUCAGAAAAAUAAAACCCUCAGCUCAUCAGACACGAAUGCAUUCAUGAAAUUCUUGUCGCAACUAAUCAGUACCUGUGCAGAUUUGAAUACAUGAACAAAUGAGUUACGCUUCAUAAGAAGCCAUUCUCUUGCCACGCAUGCCUUUAGUAGCUCCCAGUUUCUGACAGAGCGAGUGUUAAGUGACAAAGUGUUUUUCUGGAGCUCAAUUUUAUCAAUAGGCUGAGAGAUUUCUUUAUCCAGCUUUUGUCCCAAAUGAAACUCCUUGAAUUUUAUUUCAAACUCUUCAACAGAAACGUAAAUGUAAUGUUGGUCUUUACAGCUUGAUCCUUUUUGGAAACUACCUGUAGAAAAUAGAUGCUUGAGGUAAAUUAGUGAGACGACUAUUUUUGGACAUUUUAUUGUAGAAAUCAGUCAGGGAUACGUCACAUACUUCUUGGAGGAAGUCCGCAAUGCCUUUUCUUGGUGGACACCUGAAGCCACAAUUCUCAAAGAAUUCUAAAACAUUCUCUCGAGGUCCAUGGUAUACAGUCUUACCUUCAGCCAUCAAGAUGAUGUCGUCAAAGAGAUCAAAAGUCUCUGGAGCUGGCUGAAGUAGUGACAUCAAAAUGGUGGAUCCUGUAAUGUGAGCCAACUGCUGAAGACAGGUAACAAUCUGAAAAGUGGUUGAACUAUCUAAGCCAUUCGAUAUUUCAUCCAUAAGAAGAACUUUUGCUGGACCAAUUAUCAUCUCCCCUGGCACUUGAAACAUACAGGAAAGUUAUUAUGUUGGAAUUAAUGAUAUAUCGUUAGUUGUAAAGUGAACACUACAUAUAGUUAAUCCCAUAGGUUUCAACAUAUAAGAGACUUCAACUAAGAGCUAUUUAACCUUCGUAAAAUAGAAAUUAUAUGCUUAAAAGUUAUUAAUAUACACUUAAAAAUAAGUAUCAUUUGAUUAGAACCUGUUGUUAGCCUUUUCUUUUGACCACCUGAUAUUCCUCUUCUCAUUGCAUCUCCAACAACUGUAUCAGCGCAGUUAUCCAGUCCAAGUAUCUGAAUGGUCCCAUAAGUUGAUAUAAGAAUUGAGUAUUUUUUUUAAUAUUUCAACAUGGCGGUUGAAGGCGGUUAUUGUUUUCUUUGUUGAAGUUAAUUACCUUCAAAAUAUAAUCGGUCUGAAGAGUACUUUUUAACCCUUCAAUAGCAACUUCCUGUUAUAGUUCUUGAAUGAAAACAAUUAGUAGGAGAAUUAAGCUCUGUUCAACUGGUUUCUGCAGGAUAUAGUUUACCUUCAUAUAGGUGUCAAUAUCUGGUUCAGGAGAUACCCCAGCUUGUUUCUCCCUUCUGCUUACUUCCUCCAUAAUUUCUUUAAUACAUAACAGGAUCAACUAUAGGAUCAGUAUAAACUGUAAAAAUUGUUAUCAUGAGUGUAAUUUAGGCAACAAAGGUUACCUGCUCUGUUUCCAAUGCCCUGGCAGCGUGCUGCAAAAUUGAGUGUUUCUCUUACUGUGAUUUCAGAAAUGUGCUGGUCAUUUUGGCUAAUAUAAGCUGAUGUCUUCGGUGGAACAAAUUCAUUUAACUUGUAACCAUUGUAAAAGAUGUCACCAGUGACCUAAUAUGAGAUUCACAAAAACAAGAAUCAACAACUGUCCGUGUAUUCAGAAGGAAAGCGCUUCAGUGGACCUAAAGUUUGCACCUAGUGAUGUAUGGUUGUUUUGAAAUUGAUUGAAAAGUUUGGUUCCAUUGUUUCUUAAAGAUGUGAUAGGCCACGUCAUCAGGUUCAUUUAGCACUACUCUACAUUCCUUUUUUCUUUCUUUUGGUCUGUGUAGUAUCGCUUUAUGAAGAAAGAAUGACAAAGUUAUAAUUAUACAAGUUAGUUUUAUCCUUAAAAUAAAUACGCAAGUUUUCUUGAUCUAUUUUUCCUUUUUUGUUUGUUGCGACACAUUUGCAAAUUGCAAUGCUCAACUGUCUUGUAAAUUUUGUCUCAUGAUUGAAAAGUUGGAUGUCUUUUUCUCCCCCUCUUCUCACAGGAGCUUAUAAAAGAGGAGGGGAGAACCUUGAGAUUUUGGUCAAGUUUCCCUGCAAGUGCCAACAAUAAAGUGGUUUUCCCACAUUCCGGAUGCCCAAGUAACAGCGUCAUCCUGCCAAAGAAGUUUUUGCGUGUAAGUCUUUUUGUAGUUAAGGUAUUCACCCUUUGACAACAGAAAAUGAGUAACCUUGAAGGCUUGAUGAUGCCUCGGACG
rnacentral:lncRNA from 1 species